ACUAUUGUGGAAAUCACAGGCAUCUGGAGCAUUGAGUUCCUAAAAUACCUCGGCCAGUAUCAAACAGGAAUUGGCCUCGGAAAUGAUAAGGUCCAUCAUGGCCUACCAAGGAGAUGUUCAAACACCCAAGCGAUAUGUUAGACCAAAGACAGGGUGAGGGGAGAACUAUUGCCACCUAUUUGUGUGGCAGUAUGGUACCAGUGGUGUGGCCGGCUCAGAAUUCCUGGCUUGUUCUGAUGAAAAAUGGCAGAAGGGGCAGUGGAAUGCAAUCAAAUAUGCCAUUGUACUGAGGAUUGACCUGCAAUACAUGGAAAACAUGUAACACAACUGCAAAGCCAAUCUGGAAGGGAAAAUAAGUAUAAGAUGUAAACAAAGUAGAACAACAUGUUCAGUGGAACAACUUGAUAUUUGAUGACUUACAUACUGAUGUGAAGUUGUAGAUAAUAGUCAACUGUUGGCCAGUGAUUAGUAAAUACAAAAAGUAUCAUUAAACCCUCGAUGCUUGUAGCAAUACAAUCCGAAGCUGGACAUUUACUUUACAACCUAGAUAGAGCCAGUCUCCUUAAUUAUGCUUGGUAGUGCUACUCAGUGGUAACCCUCUUGCAGUCAACUUUUAAAUAGUUAAAUAUCUUUUUCAGAGUAUUUGAGUGAACUUUACAUUUAAUCCGGGCACAUAUUUCUUCACUGUGGAUCAUUUUAACUGUGGAAAGUGCAUAUUUAUAUAUAUUCAUGCAACUGUGUGGUAAAGAAUUCAUCUAUGCUUAAAACGGUUUUCAUAAGAAGGAGAGAAGAUAACAGAAACAGAAACAGAUGGAAUUGGCAGAUUAAUUAAAGAAAAACGAUUUUGUUUAGUUCAAUUUAAAAUAAUUAAGUCCUAAUAGGGCACAUGCCAUAUUGUAAAUUGGGCUCUUUAAAAUGUGAAAAGGUGAAUGUGGUCUAGAGGAUAAGCCUAGGUGUCAGCCUCAAAUCCAAGGUUGUGGAUUGACGGUUCAAGCCCCACCAAGAUACUUUCUGAUGGCCUCAGAAAAAGGAUGUCUGUACUAGUUUCUACUAAGGCCACAGACUUGAGAGUGAUUAUGCAAGCUUUCAGCUUGCGUAGCAAUCUGGCUGAAAUGAUUAUGUUUAAAAUAAGAUACUUGCUGACUUUCAAACAGUUUUUUCCAUUUGUGUUGUUUUGUUUUUCAGUCUGUAAGAAUGUUUAUUAGAAGUGAUGAGCAUUGCUUACUGCAACUAAAAUUAAUUUUUAGCUUGACUAUUCGAAGAAUAGGUGGGCAAUACUACUCGCCCCAGCGUCGGCGUCCGGUUAAAGUUUUGGGGCAAGUUGGGAUUUUCGCUACAAUACUCUUCAUUCAAUUGACUUAAUACUUCACACCAGGGCCAUCACAUGAUGAGGUUAGAUAACUCCAUAUUAUUCUUUACACAGAUUAUGGCCCAUGAUUGACUAUGGAACUUAGGUUAAAGUUUUAGGGCAGGUUGGGAUAUUUAUAAAUAACUUCUAUACCCUUUAUUCAAUUGACUUUAUACUUCACACAGUUGUUCAGGACCAUCACACAAUGAGGUUACAUAACCCCAUAUUAUCCUUAAUACAAGUUAUGGCCCCUGAUUGACUUAGGUUAAAGUUUUAGGGCAGGUUAAAGUUUUAGGGCAAGUUGGGAUUUUCACUUAAAACUCCAAUACCAUUCAUUCAAUUGACUUAAUACUUCACACAGUUAUUCAGAGCCAUCACAUAAUAAGGUUAGAUAACUCCAUAUUAUCUUUUAUACAAAUUAUGGCCCUUGAUUGACUAUGGAACUAAGGUUAAAGUUUUAGGGCAGGUUGGGAUAUUUAUUAAUUAUUUCUAUACCCUUCAUUCAAUUGACUUAAUACUUCACACAAUUGUUCAGGACCGUUACUCAAUGAGGUUACAUAACUCCAUAUCCUUAAUACAAUUGCCCCUGAUUGACUUAGGUUAAAGUUUUAGGCAAGUAAAAGUUAAGGGGAAGUUGGGAUUUUAAUAAAAAAAAACUUCUAUACCGUUCAUUCAAUGCACUUAAUAAAAUUCAAAAUUAUUUACGACCAUCUUACAACAAGCAACAUAACUCCAUUUUAACCCUUAAUACAAAUUGUGGCCCUUGUUUUUUUUUUAUUGUUUUUUUAAAUUUCUUUUGAAAGGCAUAUUUGUAUAUUCUUAACUACAUUUUCAUAUGGGAAAUCAAGUUAUUUGAAUGACUUGGGUCAUUGUUCGGGCGGGCUGGUGGGAGGGCAGCUUCAAAGUCACCUCAUGUAUUGAAUUAUUUUAGUUGGGUUUGACAUAAAGAGACCAAACUUGGUAAUAUUACAUCGUUAUUGUAUUCACUUUUAAGUCAAAGUGGCGUAGUCAAGCGCGCUGCCUUAUGACGGCUCUUGUCUUUAUUAAGUUGAAUUUAAUGCACAUAACAUGACUUGUGAUUUUACUGAUACAAUUUUAGCUCACCAGAGCAGGAUGUGCUCAAGGUGAGCUAUUGUGAUCGGUCUUUGUCCAUCAUCUGUCCGUCAACAAUUGCUUAACAAACAUCUCCUCUGAAACUAUCUGGCGAAAUUCAAUGAAACUUCACUGGAAGCUUCCUUGGGUGUCCCUCUAAAAAAAUACAACAAAGGGUUACAAUUGAUUAACAACAAGAACAACAACAAAAUGGCCUACUUCCUGUUUUGCUUUAAAAAAACAGCUCCUCUGAAACUACCAAUCCAAUUCAAUGAAACUUUACAGGAAGCUUCCUUGGGUGACCUACAAAUUACAACAAGGGUUCACGAUUGAUCAACAACAACAACAAAAUGGCCAACUUCCUGUUUUGCUUAAAAAAACAUAUCCUUUAAAACUACCAGUCCAAAUUCAAUGAAACUUUACAGGAAGCUUCCUAGGGUAACCUUGUACAAAAAUACAACAAGGGGUCAUGAUUGAUCAACAACAACAACAACAAUCUGAUGUUAAAAUAUUUUUUUAGUUAUGUAAAGUUUACUCUUAUGCAAGGGCUGCAAACCUUGCUCUAUGGUCUCCCUUUCUGUUGAACAGUGUAUUGUCUAUUUUUAGUUUUUCUAUUUUUAGUAACAAGGGAUUAAAUGUUAUAUUUUUACUUUUUUAGGUAACAAAAGCACAAAGUGCUGAAGGUGAGCUUUUGUGAUCGGUCUUUGUCCGGCGUCUGGCCGUCAGUCCGUCCGUCAGUCAGUCCGUCUGUUCGUCAACAAUUGCUUAAAUAAUUUCUCCUCUGAAACUACCUGGCUAAAUUCAAUGAAACUUCUCAGAAAGCUUCCUUAGGUGACCAUCUACUAAAACACAACAAGGGAUCACGAUUGAUCAACAACAACAACAACAAAAUGGCUGACUUCCUGUUUUGCUUAAAAAAACAUCUCCUCUGAAACUACCGCUUCAAAUUCAAUGAAACUUUACAAGAAGCUUCCUUGGGUGACCCUCUAUAAAAAAACAACAAGGAGUCACGAUUGAUCAACAACAACAAUGACAGCAACAACAACAAAAUGGCUGACUUUUUUAGCUUUAAAAAUCAUCUCCUCUUAAACUACAGUUCUAAAUUCAAUGAACUUUACAGGCAGCUUCCUUGUGUGACCUUCUACAAAAAUACAACAAGGGGUCACGAUUAAUCAACAACAACAACAAUUACAGCAACAACAACAAAAUGGCUAACUUCCUAUUUUGCUUUGAAAAAAUAUCUCCUCUAAACCUACCAGUCCAAAUUCUAUUAAACUUUACAGAAAGCUUCCUUAAGUGACCCUCUAUAAAAAAAAAUACACCAAAGAUCAUGAUUGACCAACAACAUCAAAAUGUUAAAACUGAUAGUUUUGUAAAGUUUACUCUUGAAGCAAGGGCAGCUAAUCUUGCUACAUGGUCUCCCUUUUUGAUGGAGAUUCCACUUUUUUCUAUUUUAGUAACAAGGGAGUAAAUUUUAAAUUGUAUUAAGUCUUAAACAGUCACUUAAAUUUAUUGCUCAUUUUUUUUGGUUCAUAGAUUCAAAUAAUUAUUAUAAACUUUAUUCUUUAGAAGGAAUUUCAUUUUUACUAAAUAAUAAAUUUAAUAAUCAGACUUUCCCAUUGUACUUCAUGUAGAUUAUUCUAAGCUACAAUCUUAUCUUCUGUGUGGAUAGUGAAUAAGCCUUUAUGGAUUUAAAGAAAAUUUGGUUUUGAACAUGUGAAGGAAGGUGAUGUUGACAUAGAUGGAAGAAGCAAUGAUAUUAGUGGAAGGUGCUUAAUGUAUUCUGAUAUUUGUUUAUUAGAGCUUAAGGCACUUUAUUGAUUUUAUUGGAUGGUGCAUUGUUUGUUGUUUGUGUAUCUAUCCUAAAAACUCUUUCAGUGUGCUUGCAAUUUAACAUAGUUUUGUUAGUGUGCAGGCAAUUGAAGAAGUCCUGUGUGUGUGCAGGCAAUUGAACAAAGUCCUGUCAGUGUGCAGGCAACUGAAAAAAGUCCUGUCAUUGUGCAGGUAUCUGUACCAAGUGCUGUCAGUGUGCAGUCAAUUAUCAAGUCCUGUCAGUGUGCAGGUAACUGAACAAAAUCCUGUCAGUAUGCAGAUAUGAGAAUAAAAUUCUGUCAGUGUGUAGUCAUUCAUCAAGUCCUGUCAGUGCGCAGGCAACUGAAUGAAAUCCUGUCAGUGUGAAGUCAAUCACCAAGUCCUGUCAGUGUGCAUGAAACUGUGACAAGUCCUGUCAGUGUGCAGGCAACUGUGACAAGUCCUGUCAUUGAUUAUCCAGGCAACAUGUUAGAUCAGUAUAUUUUUCAAUAUUCUUUGAGAACAAAUAUCAAGCUUUAUUGAUUACAACGGUUAAACUCUUUUACUCAGGUGAGCGAUUUAAGGGCCAUCAUGGCCCUCUUGUUAUUUCAUUGAUUGUAUGGGUGUAUUUUCUAAAAUCAUUGAAUGAUGUAAUAAA